rnacentral:lncRNA from 1 species
GGGGAGCCCUUGCAAGGACGUGAGCUGCAGGGCCGCGGCGGGCCCGUACUCUCCCCGCCUUCUCCCUGGCCGCGCCUCGGGCUACCUUCACCGUGGCCUUCUGCUUUCCUCGCCAAAAGAAAGAAAACGAUCCCAAAGUUAAGAAACGGACCAGCUGGAUUCCGCGUAUUGCCCUGAAGCUUGAGAAAAGCACCUGGUAGCCCCCGUUUAAAAUCAGGUCUUGAGCCCCAGUGUUUGGCCUCUACCUCUGUUUUGCCAUACAUGGCCUGCUUCCGUGUUAAUGGGAUCCGUCAAAGGCUUUUCUGGUGCAGAAGUCUUAACAUUCCACCGGACAGCUUCAGGUCUCUGGAGAGUCAGCCUGUGGUCUCCUGAUAAGCUUCCGCAAGGUGAGUUUCAAGGAACUAAUCCAUUUCAUAUACUCAAAUACAGCAUCUAGCUGGUGGCCUGUUUUCCUUGAAUUUAUCUUUAUUGUUACCUGCUGUGUUUCGGCCUUUGACAUGUGGUGAUCACGGCCCCCCUGCUUGGGACGGACUGCAAGGGAUCUAACAUGAAGAAGACUGAGCCCACGAAACAGACUGUGAGCGUUCCCACACCAGGACAUGGGCUAAGAUACACAGUUUUGGAGUGAGAUGGAAGGAGAAUGGUAUGAAGUGUCCAUUCUGUAGGGAAGUGUGUCCUAGAAGAAAAGCUCACCCUUUGGUCUCCUCUCUCAUCCUCUGGUAAUGAAAAGGCCUCUAAAAAUAUAUGCAGAAUGUUUACAGUGACAUUAUCAUUUUUUAUUCACAUUGGCACACUUUUGAGAGUGAAUGGGGACAUUAUUAAUAAUCGCACCAGGGCAGUGGAUGUAAACCAAGUUACCCUAAUAGAAGACCAAAUGAUUUUCAUGCCAUAAAAUAUCUCGCAACGUUGGUUCCUUCCUCAUAAGAACAGCUGUCUUUUCCUACCUUUUCCUUUCUGGGCACACCUUUACCAUACCCAGAGUUGACCUAUGUGAUUUCUGGCAUCCUUCUCAAGUACUUUCUUUAUAAAGUAUUUUCUUUUUUGUGUCAGAAUUUGGAUUAAAAAAAAAAAACUUUUGUUCUCUAAGAAUCGCUUACACAUUUCUUUAGUGAUACAUUUGGGAGAGAGAAAAAAAAAGAAUAAAUCAGGCAUAAAUUCACA